GAUGAACGCUGGCGGCGUGCUUAACACAUGCAAGUCGAACGAAGCACCUUAUUUUGAUUUUUUCGGAAUGAAAAAUUUGGUGACUGAGUGGCGGACGGGUGAGUAACGCGUGGGUAACCUGCCUCAUACAGGGGGAUAACAGUUAGAAAUGACUGCUAAUACCGCAUAAGACCACAGCACCGCAUGGUGCAGGGGUAAAAACUCCGGUGGUAUGAGAUGGACCCGCGUCUGAUUAGGUAGUUGGUGGGGUAACGGCCUACCAAGCCGACGAUCAGUAGCCGACCUGAGAGGGUGACCGGCCACAUUGGGACUGAGACACGGCCCAAACUCCUACGGGAGGCAGCAGUGGGGAAUAUUGCACAAUGGGGGAAACCCUGAUGCAGCGACGCCGCGUGAGCGAUGAAGUAUUUCGGUAUGUAAAGCUCUAUCAGCAGGGAAGAAAAUGACG
rnacentral:rRNA from 1 species